rnacentral:rRNA from 1 species
GAUGAACGCUAGCGGCAGGCUUAACACAUGCAAGUCGAGGGGUAUAGUUCUUCGGAACUAGAGACCGGCGCACGGGUGCGUAACGCGUAUGCAAUCUACCUUUUACAGAGGGAUAGCCCAGAGAAAUUUGGAUUAAUACCUCAUAGUAUGUGAGAAUCGCAUGGUUUUCACAUUAAAGUUCCAACGGUAAAAGAUGAGCAUGCGUCCCAUUAGCUAGAUGGUAAGGUAACGGCUUACCAUGGCGACGAUGGGUAGGGGUCCUGAGAGGGAGAUCCCCCCACACUGGUACUGAGACACGGACCAGACUCCUACGGGAGGCAGCAGUGAGGAAUAUUGGACAAUGGGCGCAAGCCUGAUCCAGCCAUGCCGCGUGCAGGAUGACGGUCCUAUGGAUUGUAAACUGCUUUUGUACAGGAAGAAACACUCCCUCGUGAGGGAGCUUGACGGUACUGUAAGAAUAAGGAUCGGCUAACUCCGUGCC